rnacentral:rRNA from 1 species
ACGGAGGGUGCAAGCGUUAAUCGGAAUAACUGGGCGUAAAGCGCACGCAGGCGGUUAGAUAAGUCAGAUGUGAAAUCCCCGGGCUCAACCUGGGAACUGCAUUUGAAACUGUCUGACUAGAGUCUUGUAGAGGGGGGUAGAAUUCCAGGUGUAGCGGUGAAAUGCGUAGAAAUCUGGAGGAAUACCGGUGGCGAAGGCGGCCCGCUGGACAAAGUCUGGCUCUCAGGUGCGAAAGCGUGUUGAGCAAAAAG